AAGAAAGAAAGAAGAAAACCCAGUUCACCCGUUGGCUUCCUCAUCCGGCCCAUCGAACCGCAAACCCUAACCUCCCAAUCGCCGCCAGUCUCCGGCGGAGAGCGAAUGAUGGCGAGGGGCCGCCGCGGCCCGGGCGGACCGGGGAGGUACGCCGGUGGGCAGCGGGGCGACGAGCGACCGUACCGCCACGGCGCACGCGUCGAUGAAGUCCCGUGCACCACGCCACCGCGGCGGGCAUCGGGCUGGGGCGUGGCGCCGCCGUCGCGGCACCUGUGGGUGGGCGGCCUGGCGCCCGGCGUCACGGCGUCCGACCUGUCGGAGCUGUUCCUCCGGUGUGGCGACGUCGAGGGCAUCGCCCGCGACCCGGGGCGCAACUUCGCGUUCGUGAGCUUCCGGCGGGAAGGGGACGCCGUGGCCGCGGUGCGGGGGCUGCAGGGGGCCCGCCUCGCCGGGGCGCCCGUUAGGAUCGAGUUUUCCAAGGGGGAUAAGGCUUCAGGUAGCUCAAUGGAUGACAGAUAUACACAGUAUGUUGAUGAGCGUCAUUCUAUUGAACGUGGAAGAAAACGGCAAUCAAGUCCUGAAAACUCAAUAGAUAAAUCUAAAAGAAAUAGGUCUACAGAACCUAGUGAGGUGUUAUGGAUAGGUUUUCCUCCUGGAUUAAAGGCAGAUGAGGCACUUCUGUGGGAAGCCUUUUCACCUUUUGGGGAGGUUCUCAGGGUAACAACAUUCUCAGGCCGUACAUAUGCAUUUGUCCAGUACACUAGUAUUGCAGCAGCCUGCAGAGCAAAAGAAGCACUUCAGGGAAAGCUUUUCAAUAAUCCUCGAGUAAGCAUAUGCUUUUCUCGAAGUGAAGGUGCUGCACCGGAAGUUGGGAAAAGAUCAUUUGUUGCCCCAUAUUCCCCCCAACCUAGUGCUCAGCCUGUCUUCAGAGACCAAGACUUUGAAGCCUUUCCUACAACUAGACCUUUUGAUAGCCCUCCGAGGGAUUUCCGCAUGGCAUCACCACAUUUUGGCCUAAAUAGGUUAUCAAGAGAUUCAGAUGAUAUGGGAUUCCACAGGGAUGGUUAUUUUCAACAUGAAGCUGGAGCAGAGCUUGGCCGUGUCUCUAAUAUCAAGCCUUUUAGAAUACGGGAGCUUGGUCCAGAAAGAAGGAUGCCUGAGGAAUUGUAUGAGCCCCAUAGGCAAAGCCCUACUGCUAGGAGUGAUGCGCCAUGGCGCAACAUUCCUUUUGAGAGACCUCGGAGACCCUUACCAUUGGAAGAUUCUUGGGAUGUUGAAGACAAUUCAUACCUUAUUUCAAAAGAGCUGAGGGGUUCUCAGGUGCAUGAUACGGAACUUCCUGAAUAUCCUUUCUCUGAAUUUGAUCGAGGAAAAGUUCUCCCUGACUACCCAAGGAGGCCCCAUCGUGAUUUGCCAGAAGAUGAUUUACGCUCUAGAACCUAUCCAUUCACUCCUAUGCAUAGUAAACAUCACACUGAUCCUUUAAAGAAUCUAACUCCACUUGUAAAUAAACAUGAACCAUGGCAUGCUCAAGAAAGUUUUGCUAGGCAUUUAGGAGAAAUGGAUAGAUUGACGCCAGAACAUCAUGAACCUGCUCUUAAGGAGGAAUGGAAAUGGAAUGGUAUAAUAGCAAAGGGAGGCACCCUGAUCUGCCGAGCUCGAUGCUUCCCUGUUGGGAAGGUCCUUGACUUCAUGCUGCCUGAGUUUCUGGAUUGCACUGCUAGGACAAGUCUAGAUAUGCUUUCUAAGCACUACUAUCAAGCUGCUGGCAGCUGGGUGGUAUUUUUUGUUCCGGAAAAUGAUGCGGACAUGGCAGCUUAUAAUGAUUUCAUGAGUUACCUUGGUGAUAAACAGCGUGCAGCAGUUUGUAAGCUUGGAGAGAGGAGCACCUUGUUUCUUGUUCCACCUUCAGAUUUCUCUGAGCAAGUACUGAGAGUGCCUGGAAAAGUCAGCAUAUCUGGAGUCAUUCUGAGGUUUCAGCAGUCAAAUCCAGAUUAUAGCUCGCCAAAUCGCAAAUCGUUGGAGAGAAUUCACCCAUCUUCUGCAAGUAAUCUUAACGCUGAUGUAAGCAGUCGUGAAGAUCUGAAUGCCUUGAGAAGACUCAACCAACCAGAUAGCAGGACAUUCCCACAGGGUCCAGAUUAUGUCCGCUCAUCAGGUGGAAGCUAUACCCUAGCAAGUGCAGAUAUUAUUUCGCCUUACAAGCCAGAGAGUCCUCCAUAUGUUGUCUCUCAAUUACCGCAUGAUUGGCCACCAGCUGACCCCCACAUGGGUAUAGCACAAGACAAACAUCAGCAACUUCUAAACAUGUUGCCCUCAGGAUGGUCAAAUAGCAUGAAUGAUCCAAAUCCAGGUUCUGGUAACUUCAGUUCUUUGUCCCAGAGUGCAAUCUCACAUGCUCUAAAUAACAGGAUACAGGAGCCAUACUCAUUUGCUACUCAAGGAGUACCAAAAGAGGCAGCAUCAGGGUAUGCACCAGGUGAAGUAUCCAACAGCAUGUCCUGGCCUUCCAUGCAACCGAACUCACAGCAGGUAGCUAGACCUGAUCAACCUACUAUUCCAGUAUCACUGCCACCAGAUCAACUUGCGCAGCUGGCUGCCCUUCUUGCACAACAAAACCAACCUGGAAAAGUUGGUUUUCCCAUGGACAGCUCAAACAACCAAUCUGGAUUCAUACAGAAUUCCAAUCCUCAUGGACAUGCUACAAUGAUACGAGGCAACUCUGGUUCCUUCCCUAUCCAGAACUCCAUGCCACCUCUUCCACCAUCUACGCCACAGUUACCUGGUCAUGUGCCACCAAUACAAGGGGCGCUACCUGUGCAUCCAGCCAGUGCUCCUAUAAUUUCUAACACCACUUUGCCUAUACCACCCAUGCAUGCUUUGGUGAACCCAGCUCAUUCUUCCAUGCCAUUGAGACCCUUCGUUCCUCCACUUCCUGAAGGUCCUCCGCCCUUUCAGCAGAACACAUCCAGUGCUUCCACAUUACAACCUUUAGCUCCUUCUCGCCAACAGCCUAGCCAACAACUGUCUACUCAGGAAGACGGUGAUGGAGAUCCUCAAAAGCGCCUUCAAGCAACAUUGCAGUUGGCAGCAACCCUGCUUAAGCAGAUUCAAAAUCAAUCAAAUCCUGGUGCCCAGAAAUAGAUGCAAGGAUCUAUUACUUCAGUUACUCAAAGUUUUGCUCUAUCUUUAUUUCUGGGGUCUUGUCGGUUAUUUGUUCUGUCAAUCCGGAAGGAAUCUACGGUGCCAGUCCUUUUUGUUCUAAGGAGCCUGAAACUGAUGAUGACAUGCUUUCCUGCAGUUCUAUGCCAUCGCCUCCUGUGGCGUGAAUGUGUAUUCCUGUAACCUAUUAGGCAUUAGCUGCUGUCUGAACUGCUCUUUGCCUGGUACAAAUGGUCGAGCCUGAUGUCUGGAUUUUGUCAUUUCCUUUCUUGAGCGCAUCUUUCUAUGGCAUAUACUGGUUUAGAAAGGUUCACUAAUUGGUGUUUUGGUUCCAGAUGUUGUGAUGGCAUGGCUUCCAUGAGUAACAUAGUAAUCCAGCUUCAUAUCGA